rnacentral:rRNA from 1 species
AGUGAACGCUGGCGGUAUGCCUAACACAUGCAAGUCGAACGAACGCACAGUAAGAUUUUGCUCCUACCGGUGGCGAGGGGCGGGCGAGUGACGCAUACAUAAGCAUCUACUUAUACUGGGGGGACUUCGGGAGGCCGGUUCCACUAAUACAUCAUACGUUCUACCGCAUAAUUCAGUAGUGAUUGACGCUUUUCCCGUUUCUAUUAGCCGAUGCCGCAUUAGCUUGUUGGCUGGGUAAAGGCCCACCAAGGCAACGAUCCGUAGCUGGUCUGAGAGGAUGAUCAGCCACACUGGAACUGAGACACGGUCCAGACUCCUACGGGAGGCAGCAGUAGGGAAUAUUCGACAAUGGGCGAAAGCCUGACGGAGCCACACCGCGUGAGUGAUGAAGGCCUUCGGGUUGUAAAGCUCUGUUAUUGGGAAAGAAAAGCAGUAGAUUAAUACACGGCUGUCCUGACGGUACCCAAAGAGUAAGCAACGGCUAACUUCGUG